rnacentral:rRNA from 1 species
UCUGGUUGAUCCUGCCAGUAGCAUAUGCUUGUCUCAAAGAUUAAGCCAUGCAUGUCUAAGUACAAGCCUAAGUAAGGUGAAACCGCGAAUGGCUCAUUAAAUCACACCUAAUCUACUGGAAUGUUAGCAGUUACUUGGAUAACUGAGGUAAUUCUUGAGCUAAUACAUGCGAAAAAUCUCGACUCACGGAGAGAUGCUUUUAUUAGAUCAAAACCAAACGGCUUCGGCUGUUUAAUCUUGAUGACUCUGAAUAACUUUGGGCUGAUUGUAUUGCCUUGUGCAGACAACGUUUCCUUCGAAGGUGUGCCCUAUCAACUGUCGACUGUGAUAUAGACGCUCACAGUGGUUUUGACGGGUAACGGGGAAUCAGGGUUCGAUUCCGGAGAGGGAGCCUUAAAAACGGCUACCACAUCCAAGGAAGGCAGCAGGCACGCAAAUUACCCAAUGGUCGAAGACCGAGGUAGUGACGAAAAAUAACAAUACAAGACUCUUCCGAGGCCUUGUAAUUGGAAUGAGUACACUUUAAAACCGUUCCCGAGGAUCUAUUGGAGGGCAAGUCUGGUGCCAGCAGCCGCGGUAAUUCCAGCUCCAAUAGCGUAUAUUAAAGUUGUUGUGGUUAAAAAGCUCGUAGUUGGAUUUCGGCGGGUAUUGGUCGGUUUGAAUUGCUUCAACACUGACUUUUUUACCCGUGUGUUUUGUCAGAAUUUAACGGGUGAUCUUCGCCGAUUGUCCGUUAGAACUGACAGGUUUACUUUGAAAAAAUUAGAGUGCUCAAAGCAAGCUUAAUUGCUUGAAUAUUCGUGCAUGGAAUAAUAGAAUAGGAAGUCGUUUCUAUUUUGUUGGUUUUCGGAAAUCGACUUAAUGAUUAAUAGGGAUAGUCGGGGGCAUUUGUAUUCAAACGACAGAGGUGAAAUUCUUGGACCGUUUGAAGACAAACUACUGCGAAAGCAUUUGCCAAGAAUGUUUUCAUUAAUCAAGAACGAAAGUUAGAGGUUCGAAGGCGAUUAGAUACCGCCCUAGUUCUAACCAUAAACGAUGCCAGCUAGCGAUCUGCCGGUGUUUGAUUUUCUGACUCGGCAGGCAGCUUCCGGGAAACCAAAGCUUGUGGGUUCCAGGGGAAGUAUGGUUGCAAAGCUGAAACUUAAAAGAAUUGACGGAAGGGCACCACCAGGCGUGGAGCCUGCGGCUUAAUU